rnacentral:lncRNA from 1 species
CUCUUCUAACCUUAUCUAAGGCGUUUUAUACUAGUUUUCUUUGAUGACAUCUUAAUUUAUAGUACAUCCAUGACAGACCAUAUUCAACAUCUCAACAUUGUUCUCCAAUUACUUCAGACUCACCAGUUUUUUGUUAAAGAAUCAAAAUGCAAUUUUGCAGCCCCUACAAUUGCCUAUUUGGGCAAUAUCAUUCAACAGGGAACGGUUUCCCCGGAUUCAUAAAAAAUUCAAGCUAUUCUACAGUGGCCCGAGCCCAAAUCAUUCACUACGUUGCGUGCGUUUUUUGGCAUUACGGGGUUUUAUCGGAAGUUUAUUCACGGAUAUGCCACUCUUGCCUCUCUACUCACGGAUUUACUCAAAUUGAAAGUUUUUACAUGGAAUCACAUGGCCAACACAACCUUUCUACAGUUCAAAAAUAUCCUAACUACACCUCCUAUCUUGAACCUCCCUGAUUUCACCAUUCCUUUUGUAGUAGAAACAAACACUUCCAAUUUCGUCAUUGGAGUUGUUUUAUCUCAAGCAGGGCACCUUAUUGCCUUCUUCAGUAAGAAGCUAUGUCCAAAGAAACAAAGCAGUUCAGUAUACGUUAAAGAGAUGCUAGCAAUUGCUGAAUCUGUUAAGAAAUGGAGGCACUAUCUCAUUGGCAAUCACUUUCAAAUUAUCACAGACCAACAAAGUUUAAGGGGAUUACUUACCAGCACUUGCCAUACACCGGAACAACAAAAAUGGGCUUCACGACUUAUUGGGUACAGUUUUGAUAUCCUUUAUCGGCCCGGACGUCACAACCAAGUUGUUGAUUUCCUUUCCAGGCUACCACCCUCAGUUUUCUUAACCAUCUCUUCCCCACUACCCGAGCUCAUCACCAAAUUAAAAAAAUACUAUUAGACAACAAAUGGACAACAAGAAAAAACAAAAUUGAUAGGUAUUCUCAAUUCAAAUUUCAAUUUUCACAAUGACUUACUGUACCACGGCCAGAACUUUACAUUCCAUCAGCAAUCAACCUCCGCCCAUCCAUUCUUCACGAGUUUCAUGCAACCCCAUCCGCAGGGCAUUCCAGUCUCAAAGCCACUCUAGCUCGUUAAGCUGCCUCUUUCUAUUGGUUAGGUAUGUACAAAGACACAAAAUUGUUCAUCAAAGAGUGUCUCCCCUGCCAACAGAACAAACCCAUCAACAAAAAUCCUUAGGAUUAUUACAACCCCCCCCAACCAGAAUUUGGGAUGAACUAACAACUAAUUUUAUUACCCACUUACCAUCAUCUUUCGGCCAUACGGUUAUUUUGGUGGUCUGUGACCGACUUUCAAAAUCAGCUCAUUUCAUAGCCCUCCCCACAUCCUUCACCGCCUUCCAUCUAGCCAAUCAUUUUUCUGUGGAGAUCUAUAGGUUGCAUGGCAUUCCGAAGUCCAUAAUCUCAAACUGAGACCCGCUCUUCCUCAGUAACUUCUGGAAUGAGCUUUUUCACCUACAAGGCACAAAACUGAAAUUUAGUACGGUUUAUCACCCUCAGAUAGAUGGUCAAACCGAGGUUAUCAACAAAAGUUUAGAGAUAUACCUUCGGUGUUUCACCAGUGACCAUCUGCGGAGUUGGUACAAAUACUUACACCUCGUCGAGUUUUGGUACAAUUCUUCUUACCAUUCGGCCAUCAAAACAACCCCGUUCCAAGCAUUCUAUGGAAGACCACCACCAUCUAUCCCGGAUUAUGUGUCCGGUACUGCAUCAGAACCCAAUCUGGAAACCACCCUCAAAGAGCGAACGCAGAUAUUGCAUCAGUUGAAGACAAAUUUGCCGUUGUCACAACAACACAUGGCCAAGACAGCGAACAUUGGACGACGUCAUUAUGUUUUCAUCGUCAGCGAUUGGGUACUCCUCCGACGAAAGGCUUACCGCCAAACAUCCCUCACCGGCUCCCCUCACCACAAGCUUUCCCGAAAAUUCUAUGGCCCAUACCCUAUUACCAAACACAUUGGUGAAGUGGCUUAUGAAUUAGCUCUCCCACCAGAUUUCAAGAUUCACCCAGUAUUUCACAUAUCUCUUCUCAAACCAUAUCAUGGACCAAAACCCCCUCUACCCCACCACCCUCCCAAUUAGGAAAUAAACUCGCACCUUUUGCACCCUCCCAACAUAAACCUAAGUGAAACCUUAAGUGAGACUUCA